CAGUCGCCGCGGGAAUACAGAGGUCCCGAGCGUUGUUCGGGUUCACUGGGCGUAAAGGGUGUGUAGGAGGUUUGGUAAGUCAGGUGUGAAAUCCCGCAGCUCAACUGCGGAACUGCCUUUGAUACUGGGUAUCUUGAGUAUGGAAGAGGUUAGUGGAAUUGCGAGUGUAGAGGUGAAAUUCGUAGAUAUUCGCAGGAACACCAGUGGCGAAGGCGGCUAACUGGUCCAUAACUGACGCUGAGGUGCGAAAGCGUGGGGAGCAAACAGGAUUAGAUACCCCAGUAGUCCCUGUCUCUUAUAC
rnacentral:rRNA from 1 species